CGCCCCAACCGCGCUGGGGCCGGCGGCUUCGCCAAUUUUUCAACCCUUGGAUGGGGAGCGCGGUCGCCCCGACCCUUUUAGCCUAGAGGCGCUGCCCGGGGGAAGCCCGGCGGAACAGAACGAAAGGACGAGGGGCGAUUGUCCCCAGCCCGGGGGCUUAGCCGCACAUCUCUUCCUCGAGGCACGGGGGAGGGGGGAGGGGGGUAGCUUUAACACUGCCUGCAGGAAUCGUUUCCGUCCCUGAGAGUUAGCUCAACUUCUUUCCCCCAUCAGCUGGACGCAGCGAGCUUUCACCUCCGUAUCCCCAACAGGGAGAGAGGAACCACCCCCGCACUGCUCUCCCCUGGUUCCAAAAUCUCACCCUCAUUGCAGGAGAGCGACCCUCACACAAAGCUGAGAGGGGCAUGAGAGCUGCAGCGAGGUUUGGCGGCCGGCAGAGUCACGUUACAAGGGCUGCAGGAGCAAUAGCUGGAGCUUAAUCAGAAAAGUGUGCAAAGAACUAAACUGUACGGAAAACUGAAAACAUCAGCUGCUGCCGGAAAGCAUGGGGAAAACCUUUCCCUAAAGCUAAACAGUCCAAAAGAUUCUAAAGAAAAGGAGCGCGGUGCCAACUCAUUAGCUCCGAGGAGUCCCGUAGCGAAGGAGGAACUGGGAUCAGAGUGGGACACUGUCACCUUUCCUCUGGGGAGCGGACGCCCGUCUGAAAACAAGCGGGAGAGAAAUAGAUAGCGGCGCUGGGUGUAAUGUGAUUACACCUAAGCGCAGCCAAUGACAACCAUUUGAUUAUUUAUAAUUCUUCGGCCAAGAAAACAAAAAACUGACCAGCCUCUCCACCCUUGACCUUUCUCCAAGUUUUCCAGCCACCGCACUGUUUGUUUCUAAGACACAACACGAGCAGAGGUGAGCUGCAGCACUUGUCAGGGUUGUCUGAAAGCACCCCACCGCACAGGGGCUAUAUUAUCAUCUAAUCAUUAAACCAUUAAGGUUG